AGCGAACGCUGGCGGCAGGCUUAACACAUGCAAGUCGAGCAGGCAUAGCAAUAUGUCCGCGGCAGACGGGUGAGUAACGCGUGGGAACGUACCUUUUGGUUCGGAACAACUGAGGAAAACUUCAGCUAAUACCGGAUAAGCCCUUACGGGGAAAGAUUUAUCGCCGAAAGAUCGGCCCGCGUCUGAUUAGCUAGUUGGUGAGGUAAUGGCUCACCAAGGCGACGAUCAGUAGCUGGUCUGAGAGGAUGAUCAGCCACAUUGGGACUGAGACACGGCCCAAACUCCUACGGGAGGCAGCAGUGGGGAAUAUUGGACAAUGGGCGCAAGCCUGAUCCAGCCAUGCCGCGUGAGUGAUGAAGGCCCUAGGGUUGUAAAGCUCUUUUGUGCGGGAAGAUAAUGACGGUACCGCAAGAAUAAGCCCCGGCUAACUUCGUG
rnacentral:rRNA from 1 species